rnacentral:rRNA from 1 species
GUACAUCCAGAGAAUUUAGCAGAGAUGCUUUAGUGCCUUCGGGAACUCUGAGACAGGUGCUGCAUGGCUGUCGUCAGCUCGUGUUGUGAAAUGUUGGGGUUAAGUCCCGCAACGAGCGCAACCCUUAUCCUUUGUUGCCAGCACGUAAUGGUGGGAACUCAAAGGAGACUGCCGGUGAUAAACCGGAGGAAGGUGGGGAUGACGUCAAGUCAUCAUGGCCCUUACGAGUAGGGCUACACACGUGCUACAAUGGCGCAUACAAAGAGAAGCGACCUCGCGAGAGCAAGCGGACCUCAUAAAGUGCGUCGUAGUCCGGAUUGGAGUCUGCAACUCGACUCCAUGAAGUCGGAAUCGCUAGUAAUCGUAAAUCAGAAUGUUACGGUGAAUACGUUCCCGGGCCUUGUACACACCGCCCGUCACACCAUGGGAGUGGGUUGCAAAAGAAGUAGAUAGCUUAACCUUCGGGAGGGCGUUUACCACUUUGUGAUUCAUGACUGGGGUGAAGUCGUAACAAGGUAAGCGUAGUGCU